GCAGAUGUGCUGAAGAGGUAACAGGGUCACGGAGCGAUUUCGUGGGUUCGAUUCCCACCAUCUGCC
rnacentral:tRNA from 1 species